UGCGUAGGCGGACUCAUAAGUCAGUGGUGAAAUCUUGCAGCUUAACUGUGAAACUGCCAUUGAUACUGUUAGUCUUGAAUUUAGUUGAGGUAGGCGGAAUGUAUUGUGUAGCGGUGAAAUGCAUAGAUAUAAUACAGAACACCGAUUGCGAAGGCAGCUUACUAAGCUAUAAUUGACGCUGAUGCACGAAAGCGUGGGGAGCGAACAGGAUUAGAUACCCUGGUAGUCC
rnacentral:rRNA from 1 species